rnacentral:rRNA from 1 species
AACGAACGCUGGCGGCAUGCCUAACACAUGCAAGUCGAACGAGACCUUCGGGUCUAGUGGCGCACGGGUGCGUAACGCGUGGGAACCUGCCCCUAGGUUCGGAAUAACUCCCCGAAAGGGGUGCUAAUACCGGAUAAUGUCUUCGGACCAAAGAUUUAUCGCCUUUGGAUGGGCCCGCGUUGGAUUAGCUAGUUGGUAGGGUAAAAGCCUACCAAGGCGACGAUCCAUAGCUGGUCUGAGAGGAUGAUCAGCCACACUGGGACUGAGACACGGCCCAGACUCCUACGGGAGGCAGCAGUGGGGAAUAUUGGACAAUGGGCGAAAGCCUGAUCCAGCAAUGCCGCGUGAGUGAUGAAGGCCUUAGGGUUGUAAAGCUCUUUUACCCGGGAUGAUAAUGACAGUACCGGGAGAAUAAGCGCCGGCUAACUCCGUG